CAAGAUUCUGAUUACUGACGGAUAAAUGUGGAGUACCACAGGGGAAUCAGAAUUAUAAUGAAAGCCGACCGUCUGGGCAGCAUUU
rnacentral:ncRNA from 2 species